GCACGAAGGUUCGGGCACAGAGUUCCAUCAGGGGAUGUCUGCAGUGGGCAGAGAGACACCUCACAUGGCCUACGGGUCCAGACAGAUGGACCCCCCAGGAGAUGGGGCCCUCAUGUCUACACCUCCAGCCCUCUACUCUCACCUGCCAUUCUGGAUUCGGACCCCAUGGAGCAGGGUGUUACUGAGAACUACAGUUUUUAAUAUGGAAGAAAGGCAAUAUUGAGCAGGAGUCCCUGGCUUGGCGGGGUGGGGAGAGGAAGUCCCUGGAUCUGUCCACAGAAAAGACCUGAAAGCAAUAAACAAAAUACCCUCCAGCGCCCAGACCAUAAGGCACUGAAACACCAUAUCCCUCUAAAAGGUUCCUGGGCUUCUUAGAGAAAUAUCUGAUUCUGGAUGAGAACCAGGAGAUAGAAAUGAUGUAUCUGGUACACCUCCUCAAACAAGAGAGGAAGCUAAUUAAAGUCUACUGGGGUCAUGUUUAAAGGACUCAGAAACCAACAUAAAGAGGCUCCCAUUGGCCAAAGAUGGAGUAAUUUGAAUACUUAUAAAGACUAAAAGUGCAACAGACCGAAACACAACUAUAAGUCUGUGAGUGUGUAAGCGAUACUAAAACAACAGCAAAAACCUCAUUGGCUGCCUUGGAGGAUGUUAAGGAACUGACUUACUAUGUUGAUAGCUGGUGAGGGUGAAUGAAAAAAAAAAAAUCAAGCAAUUUUCUGUAUUUCCAUAUGAAGUAUGUCACUGGGGAACUAACAGUAGAUGAGAGGAAAUUUUUUCCUUACAGAAAUGUCUGGCCAAUAAAUG